rnacentral:snRNA from 1 species
AUACUUACCUGGACGGGGUCAAUGGGCGAUCACUAAGGCCUAUGUCCUAAGUUGGUGACCUCCAUUGCACAUUUGGAGGCUUGCCCACUUAAGGUCUGCCCAGGUGGCAGAGCCUACGUCGUUGUUUGUUCCUGUGGUGGGCCUGCGUUCGCGCGGCCCCUCC